rnacentral:rRNA from 1 species
CAGUCGCCGCGGGAAUACAGAGGAUGCAAGCGUUAUCCGGAAUGAUUGGGCGUAAAGCGCACGUAGGCGGAUUUUUAAGUCAGGGGUGAAAUCCCGAGGCUCAACCUCGGAACUGCCUUUGAUACUGGAGAUCUUGAGUUCGGAAGAGGUUGGUGGAACAGCUAGUGUAGAGGUGAAAUUCGUGGAUAUUAGCUAGAACACCAGUGGCGAAGGCGGCCAACUGGUCCGACACUGACGCUGAGGUGCGAAAGCGUGGGGAGCAAACAGGAUUAGAUACCCCUGUAGUCCCUGUCUCUUAUAC